CCUACGUGAGGCAGCAGUGAGGAAUCUUGGUCAAUGGGCGGGAGCCUGAACCAGCCAAGCCGCGUGAAGGAAGAAGGCGCCAAGCGUCGUAAACUUCUUUUGUCGGGGAACAAAGUGCGCCACGUGUGGCGUUGUGAGUGUACCCGAAGAAAAAGCAUCGGCUAACUCCGUGCCAGCAGCCGCGGUAAUACGGAGGAUGCGAGCGUUAUCCGGAUUUAUUGGGUUUAAAGGGUGCGUAGGCGGGCUGUUAAGUCAGCGGUAAAAGCCCGGGGCUCAACCCCGGCGAGCCGUUGAAACUGGCUGUCUUGAGAUGUCGAGAGGUAUGCGGAAUGCGCAGUGUAGCGGUGAAAUGCUUAGAUAUUGCGCAGAACUCCGAUGGCGAAGGCAGCAGACCGGCGGCGAUCUGACGCUGAGGCACGAAAGCGUGGGUAUCGAACAGGAUUAGAUACCCCUGUAGUC
rnacentral:rRNA from 1 species